rnacentral:piRNA from 1 species
UGAAUCUUUUAGCCUUACAAUUUCUUUGGAA